GCCUGGGUGGCUCAGUCGGUUGAGCGUCCGACUUCGGCUCAGGUCAUGAUCUCGCGGUUCGUGAGUUCGAGCCCCACGUCGGGCU
rnacentral:tRNA from 1 species